GUACAUUUAGCAAUGGAGGUUUCAAACUCUUCAACUAUCUUCGAUAUGUUCAUCAAUAUAUGAUUGAAUUUGUCCAUCUGUUGUUUGUUUCUGUAGACGUACCGAUCUAACCUUAUCGCAUAUUUAAUUUGCAUGUGCCAUUUGCAUAAUCUGUGGAAAUUAAGUUGUUGGUAUGAUCAUGUCUCUUGCGAAUGGUUGAAUAGUUCUUUUCACCGUAAAAAAAUCUUUUUUUGGAAAGAGAUGCUAAAUUAACUCAUGAUUGUGGGUACUAAGGGUGAGAACGGGACGGGUCGCAGGCGGGGCAUGUGCAGGUCCUGCGUGAGAAGAACUAUAACCCCCUUCUUCUAGCUCUGGUACCAUGUUGAACAAGAUGAAUGAAGAAUACAGUGCAUGAAGUAUCGUUGUG
rnacentral:lncRNA from 1 species